AUAACAUUGCUAAAUUUUUUUUGAAAAAAGAGGGAGGCUGUCUUCAACCUCGCACCCCUCUCCUGCUCAGGUAACCUUCUCACCACCUCACACCGCCGCCUCUCAAACAUCCUCCACCUCUUCUCCACCUCCAACGACCACCACCAAACCACCACCAGUCAGAUCCGCCUCACUUCAGAAAACCGACGCACUCCUUUCCAUCUCUCUUUCCGCACCACCAACUCCAUCGACCUCCACUCUUCCACUAUCUCAUUCCGCCGGCGAAGCAUCAACAAUCUCACAACAUCACUGACCUAAUCGACCUCCUCCUCUCUCAAACGGUCACCGCAUCCGCUCCUCAAACCUCUCAAUUUAACCACCUUCACAAACCGGCCGCCUUUCACUUCAACUUUCGGUCGCACCAAUCUUCAAACCACCGCGUCUCUUUCGCUCAGCAACAAUAUCACCGCCAUGCGCUCAGAACUGCGCCACAGGUAGCGGUUGAGUUUGUCGACUAUAUUUCUCUUGUCUUUUACGUCAGUUCAAUUAAGUAUCAACAGUUGAUUCGGUGCUUUAGGUAUGUGAUUAUGCUUCAAUAAGUUUCAAAAGUUUUUUGAUUAUCAUUUUUGCAUAUGUGGUUAUGAUAUCUAAUUGUGUUGGUUUGUUUUGAAUUAGGAAUCAAUUUUGGUUUAGUUGUAAAUUUCAUAUGUGUAUGAAUCUGGUCGCACGGUUUUGGUUUCGUUUCUGCAUUUGUAUAUGGCAUUUAGAUCCAAAGCUUUGUUGUUGAUAUGCUUUGAUUUUUGGUUGUUGCCUUGUUUAAAUCGGAUCCAAAUGUAUAACGCGCGUUCGACGUUGCUUGUGUGCUGUCUGUUUGAUUGUGCACUUUCGUGCGUCGAUAUGCCGCGUUGUGUUAUGUUAUGCCACUAGUUAAUUCAAUUUUGCGAUAACUCAAUUCGCGCCUUAAUUCAAUUGGUGUGCAUUAACUCAAUUUGCGACCUCAUGUUAGGAUAUUGUGACCUCGGGUUAGGAUAUGCGACCUUGCGUUAGAAUAUGCGACCUAAUUCAAUUCACGUGCAUUAAAUUAAUUCGCUACCUCCUGUUAUCUCAAUUUGUGAACUGUGUUAGAAUUCGCUACCUGUGUUACUCUGCGAUGGAAUAUGCGUGUUAAAUUAAUUCGCGACCUCGUGUUAUCUCAAUUUGUGAACUCGCGUUAGAAUUCGCGACCUCACGUUACAAUUUGCACACUUAUGCUACUUUUUGUUAUUUUACGUUUUGAUUUAAUCAGAUUCAAAAUAUUUUUACAAUUAAAUCGGGUGAAAAAGAUUAAUUAGGCCUCUUUCUUCCCCGAGUAAUCGACUCACCCGAGUUUGAUUGCGAUGAUCAUAUUUUUUUUUGUUCUUUUAGAGUUUUAUUCAUGUUUUACCUUUAAAAAUAAACUUCAGGGGCCACUCUGUUGUUAUUUUGAGUGUUUGCAUGCUUGGGUCUUUUUUCCUACCGCUGAAGGGAAAUUUUAAAUUUUUAAAGGUUAUGCAGGCUUAUAUAACGGUGUUGGGUAGCAGAUCCCGUUGAUAGACAUUUAUUCGCAUUUCCCAAUUUAAGAUUGCAAGUUGUUACAACUAUUUUGUUCUUAAACUGUUCCUAUCAUAUUCUAUUUUAGAUCCCUCUUACAUUAGAGGCUCAUAUAUCUUUGUGGCUGCGGCGUAGAGUCUGCAGUGGAACUUUAACAUUCAGACACCUACAUUUUCGUUGCUGUCGUCACGAUCUUCAUGUAAGUUCUUCAUGAUGGGUGACCCAUUGAAUUCGAUUAGGUGUCAAACAAUAUUUUACUUAGUAGAGUUCCUUAGCGCUCGGACAUGAAAGUUCUGGCUCUACUAUUCCGAUAGCCGGUGAGUUAGUAAGGUUCUUAUGACUCUUUUUAAAUUCUCUCUAGUAUGUAAGUUCGGUGGUGUAGCGCCAACAUCAACAAAAAAAUACCUCUUAGUCUAAGAGCUUCGAGAAUGUCUAAUUAAUAAGGAAUUAGACAUUUUCGAACCUCUUAGUCUGAGAGGUAUUUUUCCCAUUGAUGUUAGUCGUACAUCACCGAACUUAUAUUCUAGAGCCAAAAUUUUCAUGUCAUGGCAAUAGAAAGCUCUACUAAGUAAAAUAUUGUUUGGCACCAAAUGGAAUUCAGUGGGUUCCCUAUGAUAGGGAACCUGCCGGGGAUCGUUUCAAUUCUUGACCAAAUGUUGGCGUCCGAAUGUUAAAGUUUCGUUGCGGAAUCCACGCCGUGGUCAUUAUCUGACUAGUCAAUUACUACGAUUCUUCUAAUUGUAACUUUAGUUUGUUUGGUAACAUGCCAAGAGUAUGAUGGUGCUACGAAGGAGAAGAAAUUGCCAUGACAAUGUUUUCAGGGUACAGAUGGGAGCAUGAGUACCUUCAUUGCCCCCUUCAUAUGUCCAUGGUACAGCUCAAAAGACCCAGGUGCCAUAAAAUGGAGUCUUCCAAUUUAAAAACCUCUUUGACGUGGAGCCCAUCGAUGCUCGCUUUCUUUCCAUACAUACUUUAUUGGGAACCUCUUUGACGUGGAGCCCAUCGAUGCUCGCUUUCUUUCCAUACAUAAUUUAUUGGGAACUCGUUGUAUGUAUUUUGUGCUUCAGACAUAUUAUUUGUUAGCAUCCAGCCAUGCCAAAAAUUUGGUGCUCUCAAUAUAUGGUUUAUUUACAA